rnacentral:rRNA from 1 species
UACGUAGGGUGCGAGCGUUGUCCGGAAUUAUUGGGCGUAAAGAGCUCGUAGGCGGUCUGUCGCGUCGGUCGUGAAAACUUGGGGCUUAACCCUGAGCUUGCGGUCGAUACGGGCAUGACUGGAGUUCGGCAGGGGAGACUGGAAUUCCUGGUGUAGCGGUGAAAUGCGCAGAUAUCAGGAGGAACACCGGUGGCGAAGGCGGGUCUCUGGACCGAUACUGACGCUGAGGAGCGAAAGCGUGGGGAGCGAACAGG